rnacentral:rRNA from 1 species
GUGCCAGCAGCCGCGGUAAUACGAAGGGUGCGAGCGUUAUUCGGAAUCACUGGGCGUAAAGGGUGCGUAGACGGUAUGUUAAGUUUGUUGUUAAAGGCUCCGGCCUAACCGGAGUAUUGCGAUGAAAACUGGCAAGCUAGAGGGUGAGAGAGAGAAGUGGAAUUCCCGGAGUAGCGGUAAAAUGCGUGGAUCUCGGGAGGAACACCAAUGGCGAAGGCAGCUUCUUGGCUCAUUCCUGACGUUGAGGCACGAAAGCGUGGGGAGCAAACAGGAUUAGAUACCCUUGUAGUCC